UUUUUUUUUUUUUUUUUUUUUUUUUGCUUUUUAGGGCCAAACCAGUGGCAUAUGGAGAUUCCCAGGCUAGGGGCCAAAUUGGAGCUGUAGCUACCAGCCUAUGCCACAGACACAGCAAUGUCAGAUCCAAGCCAUGUCUGCAGCCCACACCACAGCUCACAGCAAGGCCAGAUCUUUAACCCACUGAGCAAGGCCAGGGAUCGAACCUGCGUGUCAGAUUCGUUUCCUCUGAGCCAUGACGGGAGCUCCUGUGGUCCCCGUUUGAUCCCUGCCCUGGGAACGUCCACAUGCUGCAAGCACAGGCAAAAAAAAAAGGGGGGGUGGUGGCAGUUACAAAAAUUGACUAAAACCUUUACAACCAAAAUGAGAAAGCAUUAGCAGUGCAGCCCCCAGCAGCACAGGACUGAGCCUGGGCGACCUGCAAUUGUGUAUAGUGAAGCAUUUGAGGCCCCAGUCUGGAGGCAGGCAUCCUGGGUUUAAAAUGUUGCCUCAGACCCCAGACUCCACACACACGAGCUCACAUACACAUGAAUGUGGUUGGUGGCCCUGUGACCGUGGGCAGGUCUCUACUGCAGGAGUAACCGCAUCCACACAGCGUGGGCUGUGAGGAUGGCUGAGCGGUGACUGCUCUGAUCAGGGAACAGCCGACCUGGACCACGUCAAGAGGAGCAGAAGGGCAAGGCGCUUCCAUUUCAUCGGCAUAAGAACUCUGGGGUGGACAGCACAAGAAACUUGGGCUCUGAGUUCUCUGCAAAGCGGGGCUCUUUUCCUGUAAAUGGAGUACCCGUUCUCAGGCAUGGAAAAGCACCUCCGCCUAAAAUUCUUUUUUUCUGGCCACAUCCACAGCAUGCAGAGUUCCCAGGCCAGAGAUCAAACCGAGCCACAGCAGCAAGCAGAGCCACGGCAGUGACACCACCAGAUCCUCAACCCGUUGCCCCACCUGGGAACUCCCUAAAACAGUUGUCAGUCACAGUGCCUGAGCUAUCACUUGAGUUACUCCUUAAGGCUAAGUCCUUCCAUCUCCCAGCAGAAUAACUGAAACUGAAGCCAGUGUCAAGCCUUGGGCUGCAUCGUUUAAUAGUACUUAUCACAUUAAUUUUGAAAAUUCAGAGUAGGAUCACCCCCCCCCCAGGGCAUAGAAUGGGAGACAGAAACAUUAAAAUAUUCCAAUAUAAACUGCAGCCUGAUGAUUUGCUGGAAAGCAGCUUGGACAGGGCAUAUCUGAGGCCUGAGAAGGGGGCAAAAAAGAACACAGGGAAAAGCAGAGGGGCAUCUAGGCACUGCUAGAAAAGUUCAAGGCACUCAAGGCUCAAAAGCUAAAAGGCCCUAACGCUGAGUGCCCUGGGGGUGUUCAUAUCCCCAGCAAAGCACAGAAAAAGAUGACUGUCAGAAAUCCUGAGUCAGGGAGUUCCUGUCGAGGCAGAGCAGAAACAAAUCCUACUAGGAACCAUGAGGUUGAGGGUUCGAUCCCUGGCCUCUCUCAGUGGGUUAAGGAUCUGGCAUUGCCGUGAGCUGUAGUGUAGGUCACAGACAUGGCUCAGAUCUGACACUGCUGUGGCUCUGGCACAGGCCUGCAGAUACAGCUCCAAUUCGACCCCGAGCCUGGAAACCUCCAUAUGGAGCAAAUGCAGCCCUAAAAAGACAAAGAAAAAAGGAUAAAGAAAAAGAAAAAAAAAAAACACAAAGAAAGCGGAGUCAACAAUUAAAAAAAGAACAACAAAAAAGAAAGAAUGCAGAGUCAGCCUGAAAUGGCAGACACCACGUGGGACACCAGGCGCAUGGAUACAGCCUCUUACAGCCCCAGCAUGGGGGCUUUGCUUCCUUGUUUUCACUGAAUUUAUGUUUCCAUAGAGUCACCACUAUCCAGUCUCCAGCAAGGGGGUCCAGGGAAGCUGCACUGCUCCUGUUGAAGUUCCUUGCUUUGCAGGUCAACCUCUGAUUUUUAAAACGCCUUUAUGCAAACCCUGCUUCUUUGCCCCCAAAGCUAAAAUUUGAUAAUAAAAAUAACAGCAAAUCUGGUGAAAUAAAAAGAAAUUCAGACCGUGGACAAGGAAGAAGCAACUUAGUAACCACGGAGCUGGUAUGUGCCCUGAUUAUAAAAUGCUUGUAAAGCACGGGCAGAGAAAGGGCAGAGAAAGAGCACUUCCACGGAGAAGCGAAAGGCAAAUGAUGUAGCUAAAAUGCAACUGCUGUGAGCAGCUCGCUGUGAACAAGGUUGCAGCCCUGGAAAGCUGAUCGCAUCCAGCCCCCAGUCAGGCAUCUUGAAAAUGAAAAAAAGCAAAAGCAGAAGAGCAAGCCGUGAUUAAACUGCUGCUUUCUAUAAAUAACUCCCUCUGGGGGAUAAACUGCACAAUCAGAGGCAGGAAACCAGAGCCCUUUGGUAGGGAACCCACCGACCAGAGUGCCCCUUUACCUGGCAAGACCAAGCUCCGGAAUCGGCGCCGCAGUUGCAUGUGGGCCGUGCAGGGACCCGUGGCAACUCUCUGGGCCUCCUGGCCUCCUGGCCUCCGGGCCCCGCGCCUGC
rnacentral:lncRNA from 1 species